CCUACUGAUGCCCGCGUCGC
rnacentral:sRNA from 1 species